rnacentral:rRNA from 2 species
UGGCUCAGAACGAACGCUGGCGGCAGGCUUAACACAUGCAAGUCGAGCGGGCCCUUCGGGGUCAGCGGCAGACGGGUGAGUAACGCGUGGGGAACGUACCAUUUGCUACGGAAUAACUCAGGGAAACUUGUGCUAAUACCGUAUGAGCCCCCCUUUAAAAUUUCAGGAAUCAUAAAAUGCCCUGGCAUUUUAUGGGGGGGAAAGAUUUAUCGGCAAAUGAUCGGCCCGCGUUGGAUUAGCUAGUUGGUGGGGUAAAGGCCUACCAAGGCGACGAUCCAUAGCUGGUCUGAGAGGAUGAUCAGCCACACUGGGACUGAGACACGGCCCAGACUCCUACGGGAGGCAGCAGUGGG